CGUUUUCAAGUCUGCGGCCCGGAGUUCACUGCGAGGACUGGCAUCACCCGUCACCCCGCCCUGGGCAAGAUCUUUUUUUCCAAUGGAGACUGCUGACCUGCAGCAAUCCUAGGAUCUUUAGAUGAUGUACCCCAGGCCAAUC